AUUGAACGCUGGCGGCAUGCCUUACACAUGCAAGUCGAACGGUAACGCGGGGCAACCUGGCGACGAGUGGCGAACGGGUGAGUAAUGUAUCGUAACGUGCCCAGUUGUUGGGGAUAACUGCUCGAAAGAGCAGCUAAUACCGCAUACGACCUGAUGGUGAAAGCGGGGGACCGCAAGACCUCGCGCAAUUGGAGCGGCCGAUAUCAGAUUAGGUAGUUGGUGGUGUAAAGGCUCACGAAGCAAACGAUCUGUAGCUGGUCUGAGAGGACGACCAGCCACACUGGGACUGAGACACGGCCCAGACUCCUACGGGAGGAAGCAGUGGGGAAUUUUGGACAAUGGACGCAAGUCUGAUCCAGCCAUGCCGCGUGCGGGAAGAAGGCCUUCGGGUUGUAAACCGCUUUUGUCAGGGAAGAAACGCUCUGGGUUAAUACCUCGGGGUAAUGACGGUACCUGAAGAAUAAGCACCGGCUAACUACGUGCCAGCAGCCGCAGUAA
rnacentral:rRNA from 1 species